AGGGAGAGAAAAUUGUGUCUGUCCUGGAAUUAAUAACUUUUAGAAGAGUGAGUUGAAAACCCAGAAGUAGUCUCCAAAUUAAAACCGUAUCUGUUCUAUCUUUAGCAGAAAACUGGUUACAGUGACGGAGCAGAUGGUGGGAGCAGGGCUGAAUCACAGUGUGACACUGAAGGACCAGUCAUUGAGCACACAGUGCACCAGCAGGUCUGAAGAUGGACAAGUGAACAGGCCCAGUUUUGCUGCCCUGACAUAGUUUAAUAUCAAAUGGCUGCAGGAGCCAGGUAAUGAGAAGGGGAAGGGAUGCACCGAACGGAGUGGAGCUUGUCUGUGCCCUCGGAAAGUUGCCACCAGCCCAACCUGAGAAGCUGCAGGAAUGAAGAAGAGAGGGCUGGAGCUGGACUGUGCCUAGAAGAGAGGAGACCUGGAAGGACCUCAUAAAGAAGAGGACCAGAGGAGGGUCCACAGGGAGACAGCACAGCAAGUGAGCACAGCACUCCUAACAUGAAGCAAACAAGCUUGUACCACGCCCACACAGUGGAUGCUGUGCUAAUUGGGUCUCCUGUGGGCAGAGCUGAAGGAAAGCCAGAUGAGAAUCGGUCACGUUGCUUCUGCACUAACCAAAAAUACAGUUCUAGCCGUGUGAAGACAUUGCAGCUGGACAGGCAGUUGCAUGGAACAGGAACCUGCCUGAGGAACUGAGAAAACUGAAGUACCUUCUGUAGGAGAUGAUGCCUAAAGGAGGUAAGUAUUCCAGUUGACGCUCAGUGUUUCUGUAUGAGAUACACUCUGGAUUUGCCAUGAGAUCAUAACUUCAUUAAGUGACAUUUAUAUGGCCUCAUGUAAUGUAGCAGAUCAGAUUUUCAUAAUUUUCCCCUCUUGACCAUAAAACAAAGAAGCUCCAUUGAGGAGACUCAGAUCAAGGUUAGAUCACCCCAGUACUUCACACUACCUGAAUAUAAAAUCA